rnacentral:rRNA from 1 species
AUUGAACGCUGGCGGCAGGCCUAACACAUGCAAGUCGAGCGGAAACGAGUUAUCUGAACCUUCGGGGAACGAUAACGGCGUCGAGCGGCGGACGGGUGAGUAAUGCCUAGGAAAUUGCCCUGAUGUGGGGGAUAACCAUUGGAAACGAUGGCUAAUACCGCAUGAUGCCUACGGGCCAAAGAGGGGGACCUUCGGGCCUCUCGCGUCAGGAUAUGCCUAGGUGGGAUUAGCUAGUUGGUGAGGUAAGGGCUCACCAAGGCGACGAUCCCUAGCUGGUCUGAGAGGAUGAUCAGCCACACUGGAACUGAGACACGGUCCAGACUCCUACGGGAGGCAGCAGUGGGGAAUAUUGCACAAUGGGCGCAAGCCUGAUGCAGCCAUGCCGCGUGUGUGAAGAAGGCCUUCGGGUUGUAAAGCACUCUCAGUCGUGAGGAAGGUAGUGUAGUUAAUAGCUGCAUUAUUUGACGUUAGCGACAGAAGAAGCACCGGCUAACUCCGUGCCAGCAGCCGCGGUAAUACGGAGGGUGCGAGCGUUAAUCGGAAUUACUGGGCGUAAAGCGCAUGCAGGUGGUUUGUUAAGUCAGAUGUGAAAGCCCGGGGCUCAACCUCGGAAUAGCAUUUGAAACUGGCAGACUAGAGUACUGUAGAGGGGGGUAGAAUUUCAGGUGUAGCGGUGAAAUGCGUAGAGAUCUGAAGGAAUACCGGUGGCGAAGGCGGCCCCCUGGACAGAUACUGACACUCAGAUGCGAAAGCGUGGGGAGCAAACAGGAUUAGAUACCCUGGUAGUCCACGCCGUAAACGAUGUCUACUUGGAGGUUGUGGCCUUGAGCCGUGGCUUUCGGAGCUAACGCGUUAAGUAGACCGCCUGGGGAGUACGGUCGCAAGAUUAAAACUCAAAUGAAUUGACGGGGGCCCGCACAAGCGGUGGAGCAUGUGGUUUAAUUCGAUGCAACGCGAAGAACCUUACCUACUCUUGACAUCCAGAGAACUUUCCAGAGAUGGAUUGGUGCCUUCGGGAACUCUGAGACAGGUGCUGCAUGGCUGUCGUCAGCUCGUG